rnacentral:rRNA from 1 species
UGGGGAAUUUUGGACAAUGGGCGAAAGCCUGAUCCAGCAAUGCCGCGUGUGUGAAGAAGGCCUUCGGGUUGUAAAGCACUUUUGUCCGGAAAGAAAUCCUUGGCUCUAAUACAGUCGGGGGAUGACGGUACCGGAAGAAUAAGCACCGGCUAACUACGUGCCAGCAGCCGCGGUAAUACGUAGGGUGCAAGCGUUAAUCGGAAUUACUGGGCGUAAAGCGUGCACAGGCGGUUUGCUAAGACCGAUGUGAAAUCCCCGGGCUCAACCUGGGAACUGCAUUGGUGACUGGCAGGCUAGAGUAUGGCAGAGGGGGGUAGAAUUCCACGUGUAGCAGUGAAAUGCGUAGAGAUGUGGAGGAAUACCGAUGGCGAAGGCAGCCCCCUGGGCCAAUACUGACGCUCAUGCACGAAAGCGUGGGGAGCAAACAGGAUUAGAUACCCUGGUAGUCCACGCCCUAAACGAUGUCAACUAGUUGUUGGGGGAUUCAUUUCCUUAGUAACGUAGCUAACGCGUGAAGUUGACCGCCUGGGGAGUACGGUCGCAAGAUUAAAACUCAAAUGAAUUGACGGGGUCAUAGCUGUUUCCU